CAGCCAUAGAAUUAAUAUCCAGCAGACCCUCCCUCCCAGACCCUCCCACCUCCUGGACAGCAUCCAUGUUGAAGCUGCCUUCAACAUGGAUGCUGUCCAGGAGGUGGGAGGGUCUGGGAGGGAGGGUCUGCUGGAUUUUGGCCAGGAUG